CUUUCUGAUGCACAGUUGGUAAAGCGGAGGACUGUAGAACGUAAAGUGGAAAUCCUUAGGUCACUGGUUCGACUCCAGCUUGAAGGA